UACGAAGGGGGCUAGCGUUGCUCGGAAUCGCUGGGCGUAAAGCGCACGUAGGCGGACUCUUAAGUCGGUGGUGAAAUCCUGGAGCUCAACUCCAGAACUGCCUUCGAUACUGAGAGUCUCGAGUCCGAGAGAGGUGAGUGGAACUGCGAGUGUAGAGGUGAAAUUCGUAGAUAUUCGCAAGAACACCAGUGGCGAAGGCGGCUCACUGGCUCGGUACUGACGCUGAGGUGCGAAAGCGUGGGGAGCAAACAGG
rnacentral:rRNA from 1 species